rnacentral:tRNA from 1 species
AGGGCGGUAGUUCAAUUGGUAGAGCAGCGGUCUCCAAAACCGCAAGUUGUGGGUUCGACUCCCUCCCGCCCUGCCA